AGUGUCCUACGGGGGGCAGCAGUCGGGAAUAUUGCGCAAUGGAGGAAACUCUGACGCAGUGACGCCGCGUAUAGGAAGAAGGUUUUCGGAUUGUAAACUAUUGUCGUUAGGGAAGAUAAAAGACAGUACCUAAGGAGGAAGCUCCGGCUAACUACGUGACAGCAGCCGCGGUAAUACGCAGGGAGCAAGCGUUAUCCGGAUUUAUUGGGUGUAAAGGGUGCGUAGACGGGAAAUUAAGAUAGUUGUGAAAUCCCUCAGCUCAACUGAGGAACUGCAACUAAAACUGAGUUUCU
rnacentral:rRNA from 1 species